UACAGAGGGGGAAGCGUUAUUCGGAAUUAUUGGGCGUAAAGGGCGCGUAGGCGGCCUGGCAAGUGGAAGGUGAAAUCCCUCGGCUUAACCGAGGAACUGCCCUCCAAACUGCUUGGCUUGAGUCCGGGAGAGGUGAGUGGAAUUCCCAGUGUAGCGGUGAAAUGCGUAGAUAUUGGGAGGAACACCAGUGGCGAAGGCGGCUCACUGGACCGGUACUGACGCUGAUGCGCGAAAGCGUGGGGAGCAAACGGG
rnacentral:rRNA from 1 species